rnacentral:rRNA from 1 species
UACACACCGCCCGUCACGCUAUGGAAGCCGCUAACACCUGAAGUCGCCGUGCUAACCGCAAGGAGGCAGGCGCCUAGGGUGGGAGGGGUAACUGGAGCG